GUCUUCUUGGAUUUUGUUGGUCUUCAAGUGAUGAUUUCAUUAUUGAUCUAAAGAUGAAGCCUUCAUAACUUCAUACUUUCUGUUUUUAGCUCUCACACAUUCAAGAACACACAAGGUGAAUGUGAUUCUGGAUGCUGAUACGGCUCAUCCACGUCUCAUCGUGUCUGAAGAUGGGAAACAAGUGAGAUAUGAAAACAGAGAAACAGAAAGAGUGAAUGGAGAAACAUACAUAUUUGAUGAAUAUCGUGGUGUUCUUGGGAAGGAUGGAUUCUCCUCGGGGUGUUUUUACUUUGAGGUGCAGGUGAUGGGACAAACUUGGUGGGAUUUAGGAGUGACCAGAGAAUCUGUGAACAGGAAGGGUUUGUUCAGUCUGAAUCCUGAGGAUGGAUACUGGUCUGUGGGUCUAUUUAUUGGGGAGUAUCGAGCUUAUGAGUCUUCAUAUGUCUCUAUUUCGCUGAGUGUGAAGCCUCAGAGGGUCGGUGUGUUUGUGAAUUAUGAGAAGGGUCUCGUCUCCUUUUAUGAUGUGGAGUCCAUGUCUCAUAUCUACUCUUACACUAAUCAGUCUUUUAAUAAGAAACUCUAUACAUUUGUUGGUUUGGGGUAUGGGUGGAAUAAAAACCCCACACCACUGAUUAUCUGUGAUGAUUACUAAUGAGAUCAGUGACUGAAUUUACAUGAUCCACUGAAAUAAACCAAAAUACAAUUUAAAAAGUGUAACAGCAACAAAUAUUAAAUAUUAUUUGCACUUCCAGUCAAAAAUAUGGCCACACAAGGGUGAUUUUAUGUUUUCUGUGAUCUUAAAAUGUUUUGGUUUUAAGACUUCUGCUUUAAAUGUCUGAAAUGACUUUUUUAUAUAUAUUAAUAUAAAUAAUGCCUAUAUAUAUAUACAUAUGAAUUUCUUUAUAAGACAGAGGCUUUACUUUAUGAUGAAUAAUGUUUUGAUCUGGAGCAGAUGAUGAAUGAAAAGCAUCAUGAAGAGCUCAUCAUGCAGUUAACUGUUUCUCCUUCAGCACUGUUUGCUGUCGGUUGAUGAAUGUUUUUAUUUAUUUUUUUUUUUUUUAUUAUUAUUAUUAAUUUGAUUUCUCAUUGAUUUUGUAUUUAACUGAAUUUCUGUGUCUUUCCAACCCAGUUUUAAAUGUUCUGUUAUUUGUAUGUUUGAGCUUCUCUGAACAAAACUGAUUUUGAGUGCCAAGCUCCUAAAAGGACUGAUACAUAUAUUUACCCAGUUUUGUGUACCCUGUGGUUUUGUUAUUUGGACUUUUAGGUUACAUUCUGCCCUGUUUUGUUCCUGUUUCCUGUUCUGUUUGUAGUCCUUUUGUAGUUUUUCUUAUUGAGUAGUUAUUAUUAGUAGAAUUAUUGUUUGUGUAAUAAAUACUACUCUCCUUC